rnacentral:lncRNA from 1 species
CAGGCUGUAAGGAAGUUGGGUAGUAAGAAAAGCAAUAUAUACAAUGGAGCAUUAAUCAAUUCAAAAUGUUGUAAUUUUGACUGCAACUGAUUGUAGAGCACUUGUAAUGACUGAUUUUCCCAGUAAGCUGAAUCUUGCUGAUCCGAAUUCGAUGGUGCUAGCAGUUGAAAUGCUGCCCAGCCUAAACAGAGCUACUAUCAUUUUGCAUCUACUUCUCAACUUCCUGAAAAAUAUAAGUCACGUGCCUUCGGAAAUAUUAUAGUUAAAAGCCCAAAAGACAAGGUUGAAUGCACACAAAACAACUCAAAGUUUAGAUCAUUUCCUUUGCAAACCAUAUGCUACAAUCUACCCAAAGACCAAGGUUUCAGGUAAAAGCAGUACCAAUGAUAUAAAUUACUUCUAUCUGGACGUACAAAAAUGGUUAGUGAUCACAGUUCUGAUGCUAUAGAAACCAUAUAACUAUAACUCUCCAUGUCUAAAUCAUACCUAACACUUCAAAAUUUCUCCAAAAGACCGCUAGUAUUAUUUGCAAUUUACAAUGAAAACAAAUGAAACCACAAAUGCCCACGAAGGGUAUUAACGCUUGAGUGCAGCACUGUGCACCCAACCACUUAAGAAGCAUAUGCAGCGCAUGAACUCCAGCCAGCAUACACAAAAUAGUGCACAAAGGAGCAAAGGCUAUGGAUAUUUGUACUCUAACAGAAGGCACAAAAAGCUAAAGCCACAACAAAAGAACUGCUUGGGCACAUGGAAAUGAUUACAAUUAUGAAAGGUCUAUUCACUUCUCCGUAUAACUUAAUGACUCAUGUUCCUAGUAGGAAGACAAGGCAUCCCGUACGCAGCUGAGCAUUGAAGUCACGACAGAUGAAACAACAUACAGAAAAGGGAACAUAAAUAGCUGAUAAUGAAUCUUUGAUAUCAUGCCCAAUUUUCUCAAACCAAGACGAAGAAUGCUAGCAUAUAUGAAUUCCUUAAUUUCAACCAACAAACCUUAUCAUAUCCAGGUAAAGCGUUCUACGACCAAGCUGAAUUGAAUUCCUAUCAUUUGGUGUAAGCUCAUUCAACAAAGUAGCAAUUGUCCAGGUCUCCCUUACAACUAAAAAGUCUCCAGAAAGUAGCAAAGGCAAUGAUGACACUAGAACUUGAAUGGAAUUGUGAGACACAAAUCUCCUAUUCCUAUCCUCUUGCACUUUUUCUUAUUCUGAACCAAAUGCACCCCAACACACAUGCAGAAUCCCUAUGUAUUCUAGAUGUAGAGUUGCAGUCUAACCAGGUGAAACAAGUUAAGGCAACACUAUUAGAAGAAGAUGACACAGCCUGACAUGAUAUUAGAAUGCAAGGAUUAAUGUAGCAUUCUGAAGUUGCCAAACAAGGACAAUGAAAAUUGAAGCAAAAAAAAAAAAGGGGAAAAAUGCAGAUAGUAACAUGUUCACAAGCUAGCAAAGCUUGACGUCUAUUUACCAUCAUCCACAUACAUAGUUAAACAUGAUGCAUUAUACACAAAUAAACAUCUUAAAGCAUGUCAUACAAAAAUUUCUCAUCUCCCAGCAAAUAAUAAAGCAAAAAAAAAUUCUGAUUUGUAACUGAUGGAUGGAGUAUAUUCAAGGUGUUGUUAGGCAGACUACACAAAAUCCUUAAAAGAACUAGACACUAAAACACCCAUGCAUUAUAAUUAUUUAAAAUACCAUACACUCGUUUUGUUCAAAUAAAUCCAUCGACCUAAAGCUUAAGCAUACUAAAAAAAUCCAUCCACCUUGUCCACCCUAGUGAACUUGCCGAGCACGUUAUCUUUGAGAGCACCAAGGCCAUCACCAAAUUCACUAGUUCCAGAUACUAUAUCCUUUUUCCUUCUCUUGGUUCAGUUUGGUGUACAUUUUUUUCCAUUUUUGAAUGGAUACAUCAUCUUUUCUAUUGCUUCAAUAAAUUGAGAUAUGUCAAUUCAGAAGAUUUUUUUUUUAUAAAAAAAAAUCUAUUAUCAUGAUAUCUACCUAUCUUCAAAGCAUUACCACACUACUCAUAGGGUAUACUUGGUGUUGCUUCUACUUUAGGGAAAGAGAAUUAGAACCCAUCUACAGCGUUUCUUUUGACCUAAUCUUCUUGUAGAAAUACCUUUUAGAUGAUGUAACCAAACACUAAUUUUUAUUGGAAAGUGGUGUUUUGCCUUCAAAAUCACAAAAGCACUUUUUUAGGCAACACCAAACGCACCCAUAACCUUUUGUUCUUUCUGAAAUGUCACCUGUUAUGAUAUCAACAUCAUAAAGCCCUUUGAGAAUAUGAAAUUCAUGAAAAAACUCAUACCCUGCUAUCUAUAGCCUUUAUUGCCUUUUGUGCUUCAGCUUCAUAUUCAUAAGUCACAAAGAAUACCCUGCGGCCUUUGGGAUCUUACAUUUCUAAUAUGCCGCAGGUGCAAUAACACAAAUAAAAGCCAAAAUCGAAUGAUUAUGCUAAACUUUAUGAUCACGAGUCACAAUCCAAAUGGUUAGAGAGAGAGAGAUGCUAAAAAGAUCAAAGCUAACAAUAUUUACUAUUUAUGCAAGGAAAAAAAAAGCCCACAUAAACCAGAUAGCAAGUUUUAGGUACCACAAAUUGAAACUUCAUCAAAUGUUCACCUUAAAUUUUCAAAAACAAUUCAAAUAUGGCAAAAUUAUAAUACAAAAUAUGGUUUCAAAUAUCAGUAUUGGAUCACAUACCGGUUUUUUGCCAGAAGUACCAGCAUAUGGUACAUGACCCUUACCAUCUACACACUGUGCCCCAGUGCCAAAAAUGAAAAACCUGCUGGAGUGUUAUAGUACCAUUCUUGGCAUCCCAUUUUGGCGAUAUUUAAAACAUUGAUGCAAAAAGCAAUCCUAUUAAUAAAAGAUGAUUCCAGGAGUGCACAAAAACCAACUAAAUAAAUUCAUAAAUCCAGCUAGAAAACGAUACCUUCCUUGACAUUGCUAAAUGGCAAAAAGGCUUCUCAAAAUUCUUCACCCAUAGUAUAAUAUGACAAUCCUACAAACCCACAGCAAUUGCAUUCCAACUUGAUCAGAUCUUUCC